UCGAGAAUCUUCGGCAAUGGACGAAAGUCUGACCGAGCGACGCCGCGUGCGGGAUGAAGGUCUUCGGAUUGUAAACCGCUGUCGGAGGGGAUGAAGUAUACGAGAGCUAUCUCUUGUAUUUGACAGAGCCUCGGAGGAAGCACGGGCUAAGUUCGUGCCAGCAGCCGCGGUAAUACGAACUGUGCGAACGUUAUUCGGAAUCACUGGGCUUAAAGGGUGCGUAGGCGGUUCUCUAAGUCACGUGUGAAAUCUUCUGGCUCAACCAGAAAACUGCGCGUGAAACUAGUAAACUUGAGUGAGGUAGGGGUGUGUGGAACUUCCGGUGGAGCGGUGAAAUGUGUAGAGAUCGGAAGGAACGCCAGCAGCGAAAGCGGCACACUGGGCCUUUUCUGACGCUGAGGCACGAAAGCUAGGGGAGUGAACG
rnacentral:rRNA from 1 species